rnacentral:rRNA from 1 species
UACGGAGGGUGCAAGCGUUAUCCGGAUUCACUGGGUUUAAAGGGUGCGUAGGAGGGCAGGUAAGUCAGUGGUGAAAUCUCCGAGCUUAACUUGGAAACUGCCGUUGAUACUAUCUGUCUUGAAUAUUGUGGAGGUGAGCGGAAUAUGUCAUGUAGCGGUGAAAUGCUUAGAUAUGACAUAGAACACCGAUUGCGAAGGCAGCUCGCUACACAUAUAUUGACUCUGAGGCACGAAAGCGUGGGGAUCAAACAGG